rnacentral:rRNA from 1 species
GACGAACGCUGGCGGCGUGCUUAACACAUGCAAGUCGAACGGAAAGGCCCUGCUUUUGUGGGGUGCUCGAGUGGCGAACGGGUGAGUAACACGUGAGUAACCUGCCCUUGACUUUGGGAUAACUUCAGGAAACUGGGGCUAAUACCGGAUAGGAGCUCCUGCUGCAUGGUGGGGGUUGGAAAGUUUCGGCGGUUGGGGAUGGACUCGCGGCUUAUCAGCUUGUUGGUGGGGUAGUGGCUUACCAAGGCUUUGACGGGUAGCCGGCCUGAGAGGGUGACCGGCCACAUUGGGACUGAGAUACGGCCAAGACUCCUACGGGAGGCAGCAGUGGGGAAUAUUGCACAAUGGGCGGAAGCCUGAUGCAGCAACGCCGCGUGCGGGAUGACGGCCUUCGGGUUGUAAACCGAUUUCGCCUGUGACGAAGCGUGAGUGACGGUAAUGGGUAAAGAAGCACCGGCUAAAUACGUG